GUCGUUUGCUCCAGAAGUGCCUGCACCAACCCGCAAGGGAAGUAGGGCCCAAGGAGUGAACGGUAACUGGGGUGAAGUCGUAACAAGGUAGCCGUAGGUGAACCUGCAGAAGGAUCA
rnacentral:rRNA from 1 species